rnacentral:rRNA from 1 species
AUUGAACGCUGGCGGCAGGCCUAACACAUGCAAGUCGAGCGAGCGGCGGACGGGUGAGUAAUGUCUGGGAAUCUGCCUGAUGGAGGGGGAUAACUACUGGAAACGGUGGCUAAUACCGCAUACCAUCAGAUGUACCCAGAUGGGAGUAGCUUGUUGGUGGGGUAACGGCUCACCAAGGCGACGAUCCCUAGCUGGUCUGAGAGGAUGACCAGCCACACUGGGACUGAGACACGGCCCAGACUCCUACGGGAGGCAGCAGUGGGGAAUAUUGCACAAUGGGCGCAAGCCUGAUGCAGCCAUGCCGCGUGUAUGAAGAAGGCCUUAGGGUUGUAAAGUACUUUCAGCGGGGAGGCGUUACCCGCAGAAGAAGCACCGGCUAACUCCGUGCCAGCAGCCGCGGUAAUAC